UUCAAAAAAAAAGAAUAAUUCUGGAACUGAAAAAUGCAAGAGUUCGAGCGAUGGUUAAUCAGUUAAGGUCCAGUUAGGAAAUUAGAAACUAGUCUAGGCAUUUCAAACAGUAAAUUUAAAACAGACAUCAAUUACAAAUUAAACAGGCUUUAAGAGUAAAAAGGAGAGGGAGCGGGGCUGGAUUAAAAAAAAAAAAAGAGGAGGAUGAGACACUCAGAGUUCAGACACUGCUAAGAGCCUACAUCUGCUAUUGCACUAUUGAAGACUGUUGUAAUAGCCUGUAUUUGGUACUGCACUUUUGGAAACUGCUCAAAUGCUGCCUAGACCAGAGCUAAAAUUGCUAAUAGGCACUGUCUCUAGUCCACUGGAAUCUGGAAUCACUCCACCCUGGCUGCCACUGUACCAGCUGCCAACAAGGAUCACAGUGCUAUCUGUGCUACCUUCUGAUCUCCCAGAAGUGCCUUCUAUUGACAAGCCUAACAGGAAUCAAGCUGGCAAAGAAGUCUGGGGAAUGUAGAUCGCAGAAUUUCAGCCUCAGGAGAACAGAGCUGACUGUAGAAGGAUAGCUAUGCGUGUGAAAUGUUGAGAGGGCUGAGUGCCCACAGAAAACAACCAACCAGCACAACCCUUCCUUUCGGCUGUUAAAGAGAACAGACUUGUUUGUCAAGAACAAACACACAGAGCUGAGAGAUCAGGAAACGGUGGGACCAGGGAGCCAGACUCUGCUUUGCUUAACACGAUUGGAAGGAGUGACUCCAACAGCCAGUCACCACGAGGCGUCUCAGUGUCUGGGGAGAAUUCGUGUGAACUGUCAGCUGAAAGCAUUGACAGCUUCCCAUUAGUAAUGAAUUAUGGAAAUAAUUUUAUUAAUUUCUUCACCUCAAUCAGUACAUGUUAGUGAAAGUUGCUCAUCCAAACAUCAAAGAACCAUUGCAUUUUAACCUUUUAGUCUUUUACCGUGUAACCAGGAACAGCAAAGAAAUAAAUUAGUGUAGCAUUCCUUUAAAAAAAUGCCUGGAGAUAAGGAGUGGACAUAAUUUUUUCUGUUUUUAAUUUAAUAGCAGGUUUAUGGUUUUAUGCAAAACCAUUCACAUUACAUUUGACCCUCUGGGAGCUGCUUUUUUUUCUGUGGAUAUAAUUUUGAGUCUUUAAUAAUCCGUUGUUAAACCCAGUCUGAGUUUGAUUAAUGAAUUGUGAUGAACCGGUGCAUUAAUUUGCAGGUUUGGUCUAAUGCCCUAAAAGGCUGCUUUGUUGCAGGUUAUUAAUGCUCAACUCUUCAAGAGGAGCCAUGGGGUGGCGACAGUGUGUCCCGUAAUGAACAAGCUACACAUUUGAACAGUCCCAGUGAUAGAGCUGCAGCUCUAGAAGUCACCAUGGAGCUAUGUUAUUGAAAGAAAGAAAAUCCUGAUUUAGCUUAAUGCCCUAAACAGGGGGCCACAGACCUCCAGCUCCACAGGUCUCCGCAUGGAAUUCAGGGGGAAUUUGUGAAUUUUGAUAGGAAAAAAAUCUUUUAUUAACCUCUAACUGAAAUUUAACAUCAUUCAAUUAUGAAUGUAGGUGACAACCAUAGUAUUCUUAGCCGUGUCUGUGACUUUGUCAUCUCUGGAAAUCAUAGAUAUUUCCGUAACACGUUAUAGAGGUGCAAGUACCUCACCAUGUCAUUUGUAUUUGUCACUACCACAGAAUUAUAGUAAAUAUGAGGACAGCUGCCUGACUUAUUUAAUGUAAUAAAGAAGUACAUAUAUUA